rnacentral:lncRNA from 1 species
AUCCCAGAGACUAUUUGCUUCUUCUUCUUUCUUUCUAAGCUUUUCUUCUCUUUCUUUCUAAGCUCCCCUUGAGAUGAGUCGUUUUUGCUUCUCUUAAAAGAACAAAACCAAGUCACAGAAUAACUUGGUCGAGUUAGGCGAGAGGGUUCUGAGGAAAUCUGACCACACUUGCAACGCAAGGCAGUGCACUCUUAGUUUUCCCGAUCCUUAGGCGAGAGGGUUCUGAGGAAAUCUGACCAGACUUGCAACGCAAGGCAGUGCACUCUUAGUUUUCCCGAUCCUAAAGCGUUGAAGAAGCAUGUUUCGGAAAAACAUGUGGAGGAGUUUGAGUGCGUUUGUCACUACUGUGGUGUCGGCCUGAAAAAUCACGACGAUGUAAAGGAACACGGCAAUAAGUGGAGUGUCGAGAAAAAGAGUACAAAGAGGAAGCAGGCGACGACGAACAAGCAUAGGCAAGAUCGUGGAAUAUUUGAUCCAGUUAAGUACGUGUAUUCCGACGACGAAGAAGAAUCAGGAAAGAAUAAUUUCGUCUUUCCGUAAGUUUUAUACUUUAAUUUCUUAGGGUUCUAUUUUCGUAAUUGUUAUCUAGUAGUGUGUGUAGUAAUCUAGCU